rnacentral:rRNA from 1 species
UUUAUGGAGAGUUUGAUCCUGGCUCAGAGUGAACGCUGGCGGCGUGCCUAAUACAUGCAAGUCGAACGAUGAAGCUUUCUAGCUUGCUAGAAUGCUGAUUAGUGGCGCACGGGUGAGUAACGCAUAGGUCAUGUGCCUCUUAGUUUGGGAUAGCCAUUGGAAACGAUGAUUAAUACCAGAUACUCCCUACGGGGGAAAGAUUUAUCGCUAAGAGAUCAGCCUAUGUCCUAUCAGCUUGUUGGUAAGGUAAUGGCUUACCAAGGCUAUGACGGGUAUCCGGCCUGAGAGGGUGAACGGACACACUGGAACUGAGACACGGUCCAGACUCCUACGGGAGGCAGCAGUAGGGAAUAUUGCUCAAUGGGGGAAACCCUGAAGCAGCAACGCCGCGUGGAGGAUGAAGGUUUUAGGAUUGUAAACUCCUUUUGUUAGAGAAGAUAAUGACGGUAUCUAACGAAUAAGCACCGGCUAACUCCGUGCCAGCAGCCGCGGUAAUACGGAGGGUGCAAGCGUUACUCGGAAUCACUGGGCGUAAAGAGCGCGUAGGCGGGAUAGUCAGUCAGGUGUGAAAUCCUAUGGCUUAACCAUAGAACUGCAUUUGAAACUACUAUUCUAGAGUGUGGGAGAGGUAGGUGGAAUUCUUGGUGUAGGGGUAAAAUCCGUAGAGAUCAAGAGGAAUACUCAUUGCGAAGGCGACCUGCUGGAACAUUACUGACGCUGAUUGCGCGAAAGCGUGGGGAGCAAACAGGAUUAGAUACCCUGGUAGUCCACGCCCUAAACGAUGGAUGCUAGUUGUUGGAGGGCUUAGUCUCUCCAGUAAUGCAGCUAACGCAUUAAGCAUCCCGCCUGGGGAGUACGGUCGCAAGAUUAAAACUCAAAGGAAUAGACGGGGACCCGCACAAGCGGUGGAGCAUGUGGUUUAAUUCGAAGAUACACGAAGAACCUUACCUAGGCUUGACAUUGAGAGAAUCCGCUAGAAAUAGUGGAGUGUCUGGCUUGCCAGACCUUGAAAACAGGUGCUGCACGGCUGUCGUCAGCUCGUGUCGUGAGAUGUUGGGUUAAGUCCCGCAACGAGCGCAACCCCCUUUCUUAGUUGCUAACAGGUCAUGCUGAGAACUCUAAGGAUACUGCCUCCGUAAGGAGGAGGAAGGUGGGGACGACGUCAAGUCAUCAUGGCCCUUACGCCUAGGGCUACACACGUGCUACAAUGGGGUGCACAAAGAGAAGCAAUACUGCGAAGUGGAGCCAAUCUUCAAAACACCUCUCAGUUCGGAUUGUAGGCUGCAACUCGCCUGCAUGAAGCUGGAAUCGCUAGUAAUCGCAAAUCAGCCAUGUUGCGGUGAAUACGUUCCCGGGUCUUGUACUCACCGCCCGUCACACCAUGGGAGUUGUGUUUGCCUUAAGUCAGGAUGCUAAAUUGGCUACUGCCCACGGCACACACAGCGACUGGGGUGAAGUCGUAACAAGGUAACCGUAGGUGAACCUGCGGUUGGAUCACCUCCUUU